UACAGAGGGGGCAAGCGUUGUUCGGAAUUACUGGGCGUAAAGGGCGCGUAGGCGGCCUGCUAAGUCGAACGUGAAAUCCCCGGGCUCAACCCCGGGAACUGCGUCCGAUACUGGCAGGCUUGAAUCCGGGAGAGGGAUGUGGAAUUCCAGGUGUAGCGGUGAAAUGCGUAGAUAUCUGGAGGAACACCGGUGGCGAAGGCGGCAUCCUGGACCGGCAUUGACGCUGAGGCGGCGAAAGCCAGGGGAGCAAAGCGGG
rnacentral:rRNA from 1 species